AGUUUUUUCUUUCCGUUCACUUAUUUGAUAUGUGCGCGCUUAUUUGGUUUCAAGAAACACUCAUGUCCCAAUUUUGAGGCUUUCAUGCGCAGCUUUGCAAGCCCUUUGUGUUCAAGGUGUGUAUAUACAAGUUUAUGGCGAAUUUGUGGUUUGUUGUUCUCAACUGUUGUCUUCUGCAGUUCGCAACUCUUUCCUUCCUUGGAGAACCUUGCAUGCAUUUUAUAUGAAGAUGAUUUGUAAAGAUGCUGUGAUUUCAUGAGUUUUCUAUUGGGGAAACGUAAGGACCCGAUUAUCCUACAUCGAAAAAAUAGCGGCAGCGGGUCCUAUUUAAAAUGAAUCUAAUUGAAGAGACUAAGGAUUGGGCACCUUUCACAAACUGCAGUACUACUACUCUUGCUGAGCUCAUGGAAUACUCUUCCCAAACUUCUGAAUCAACAAGCAAGUGGACGACAUAAGUUUCUAAAUUACAGAGACAUCUGUUUGUGCAGAGAGGAGAUAUCUCAUUACAAAGAACUUAAUACAGCAGAACAUUUAUUACUCUUAAAAGCAUUAUGUGAAUUCCAAGCUCAAGUCGGUCCUUAAUUUUCAUGUAUUUUUUUAUUUCUUUAUGUCUAGGUGGUUUACAUAUAUGGUUUUAAUGUUGGAAAUUGGAAAAACUGUUUGUGUAAUGUGUCCAUCAUGUUGUAAUAUUUUAAUGUUGGAAACCGCUGGUUGUGAAUCUUUCGGAAGAAAUUAGCCCUACGAAGUAAUAAAACAAGGUCAUUUAUAUAUGGAGGAAUGAGAUUGAAUUGUUUGCUUUGCUCAGGCAAUUCAGUUUAGAUUAAUGGAUGUUAUAGUACAUUUUUGAAACCUAAACCCUAUAGUCUAUAGACUUCUCCACUAUUAUACAAAAACCGAAACAUGUUAUUGAAACUUCAUUAAUUAAUUGAUUAAUUUCCCUCUUUUCUUUUCUUUUUUUCCGAAUUAAUUUCUCCUUUUUCUUUUCUUUUUUUCCGAAUUAAUUUCUACUUUAUACCUAUAUUUUCGGGUUGGUUUAGGCUCCUUAACAAUUAAUUAAAUUAUGGGCAAGAAGAUUCAAAUACGAAACUACUUGCCUUAGCAAUUAAGUUACAAGCUACUUGCUUUAGCAAUUAAUUAAUUUGAGACAUCUUUUUAUGUUUUUUUUAACAGACGAUAUAUCUAAACUAAGGGGGCGGGGUGGACUUAACCUCACAAUAGGCUAGCAAUAACGUGGUUUGAAUUUGCCUUUGGUUAGCACAACUAAUUGUAACAAGUGGUUGGAAAUACACGGGGCACAAAGCCUAAGCAUCAAGUAACCGAAAUAUUUUUUUCAAGUAUCCAACCACUUGUAUUUUGAUAUUUAAUAU